CAAAAACAUGUCCUUUUGUGAAUGAUUUAAGGUCAGGCCUGCCCAAUGAUUAGUUUGAAUGGCCGCAGUAUUUUGACUGUGCAAAGGUAGCAUAAUCAUUAGUUUCUUAAUUAGGAGCUGGUAUGAAUGGUUUGAUGAAAAAUUGACUGUCUCAAUUUAAAUGAUUUUGAAUUUUAUUUUUAAGUGAAAAAGCUUAAAUUUUUUAUAAAGACGAGAAGACCCUAUAGAGUUUUAUAUUUAAUAUUAUUAAUAAUUUGGGGUUUUGUUUUAUUUUAAUAAUUGUUAAUAUUUUGUUGGGGUGACAUUAAAAUUUGAUAAACUUUUAUUUUUAAAAACAUUUAUUUAUGAAUAAUUGAUCCUAAUAUUUAGAUUAUAAGAAAAAAUUACCUUAGGGAUAACAGCGUAAUUUUUUUGGAAAGUUCUUAUUGAUAAAAAAGUUUGCGACCUCGAUGUUGGAUUAAAAUUUAGUUUGGGUGUAGAAGCUUAAAUGUUAGGUCUGUUCGACCUUUAAAAUUUUACAUGAUCU
rnacentral:rRNA from 1 species